GAUGAACGCUGGCGGCGUGCCUAAUACAUGCAAGUCGAGCGAACAGACGAGGAGCUUGCUCCUCUGACGUUAGCGGCGGACGGGUGAGUAACACGUGGAUAACCUACCUAUAAGACUGGGAUAACUUCGGGAAACCGGAGCUAAUACCGGAUAAUAUAUUGAACCGCAUGGUUCAAUAGUGAAAGACGGUUUUGCUGUCACUUGUAGAUGGAUCCGCGCCGCAUUAGCUAGUUGGUAAGGUAACGGCUUACCAAGGCAACGAUGCGUAGCCGACCUGAGAGGGUGAUCGGCCACACUGGAACUGAGACACGGUCCAGACUCCUACGGGAGGCAGCAGUAGGGAAUCUUCCGCAAUGGGCGAAAGCUUGACGGAGCAACGCCGCGUGAGUGAUGAAGGUCUUCGGAUCGUAAAACUCUGUUAUUAGGGAAGAACAAAUGUGUAAGUAACUAUGCACGUCUUGACGGUACCUAAUCAGAAAGCCACGGCUAACUACGU
rnacentral:rRNA from 1 species